rnacentral:misc_RNA from 1 species
GAUGAAGAACGCAGCAAAAUGCGAUAAGUAAUGUGAAUUGCAGAAUUCAGUGAAUCAUCGAAUCUUUGAACGCACAUUGCGCCCGCUGGUAUUCCGGCGGGCAUGCCUGUUCGAGCGUCAUUUCAACCCUCAAGCCCCCGGGUUUGGUGUUGGGGAUCGGCUCUGCCCUUCUGGGCGGUGCCGCCCCCGAAAUACAUUGGCGGUCUCGCUGCAGCCUCCAUUGCGUAGUAGCUAACACCUCGUAACUGGAACGCGGCGCGGCCAUGCCGUAAAACCCCAACUUCUGAAUGUUGACCUCGGAUCAGGUAGGAAUACCCGCUGAACUUAAGCAUAUCAAUAAGCGGAGGA